GAAGAUUAGACAAGAUUUACCUACCCAGCAGUCGUCAGCAGCACUGUUCACACAGACUUGGUGCAUAGCAACAGGUCAGUGAGCCAAAUGCGCCACAUUAGCACUUACCAUGGACUAAGACAGAGACCAAUUGAGAGCUACCAUUUCCUCAUUACCCUAUAUGGUUGAGCUUCUGGCAAAGUUAGAGUACCACAAUGUGAGGUGAACAUGCUUCAACAUAAUGGCAUAUAUCCUGUUGACUGCGUUUACAUGGACACUCAAGGGGAUACUGUGCACUUGCAGGUUUCUUUGGAUAUGCCCAUACAAUGCAAUCAAAUUCUUGCCAAGGGAACAACAUGUAAUUACAGAGGACACAAACCGACAACUGAAACCAUUUGUGGGUUCUGAAAGUAAAGGGAUUGCAGCCAUACCAGGUAGCCCUGACCGUACACCUGCCCUUGAUAAAAGACUUACCAAAACCGAGAAAGAGAUACUGUCCCUCAAAACCAGGAUCGCCUGUGAGAGAACAUCAUGGGAAAGGAGGUUUGCAGAGCUGCAGAGAAAACAGGAAGAGCUAUAUCAGCUGUCCUCUCAGGCUGGAGUCUUAAUAAAAGUGGGCAGUUGUGAUGGCCAGGGAGAGCCAGGAGCCGACAAUGGAGAAGUAUUUGACGAGUGUUCAAGUGGUCUCUCAAGAAUGAUGUACCAAGACAGAGGGUCUGAGGGUUCAUCAAAAGGCGACACUUGCAGUUUGUCAGGCAGCCAGUUAUCCUCAUCAUCUCCACUGAGCUCAAGAGUUGCCUCCUCCUCAUCCUCAGCCACCAGGUUUAAAAAAAAAAAAAAAACACUACUGACUGAGCCCUCUCUUUCUCGAGUGUGAGAUCAUGGAGAACAUCUCAAGGGCCUCACCGGGUUUUUGUACCACACUCACCCAUGGAUUUGGAGCUGGGUCACAGAGUCAGGAUCAUGCUGCCAUCCGGACGGAUCAGCACAGGAACGAUUCGUUUCCUGGGCCACCUGCAGGGGGAGGCAGAGCUCCACCUCGGGGUGGAGCUGCAGACACCUGAUCACGGAUUGCAUGACGGCAGACACAGGGGACACAGCUACUUUGAAUGCAAGCCUGGCUAUGGUGCCUUUGUACCAUUCCACAAGUUACUGAUGGCCUGGGAAUGACAAAAGCACAGACUGUCAUGUAGAGCUGCCCAUUUGGAUGUGUGGAAAGAGGGCCAACUGAAGGCAGAACAGUAGUUACGGCCAAGGAUCUGACACCUUAUAAUAAUGAGAUAAAUCUUUGUAUCAAAGUACAUAAUAUAUAAUACAUAAUAUAAUGUGUCAUGUGUCUUGUCUUGUUUGUUAUUUACAAUAAAAAUACAAUUUUCAUCAAA